AAGUCGUAACAAGGUAACCGUAGGUGAACCUGCGGUUGGAUCAUUAUUGAUUUAACUAUCUUGGUUAAGCGAAAGCUGGACCGAGAUUACACCCAUUGUGCACUGUAAUGUUUUUCGGGCUUGGAGACCUUUUAGGUUAAAGAGUCCGGCAGUUUAUAACAACCCUUUAUACUUUUGACUGAAUUUUUCUUAUGAAAAAAUUAUAACUUUUGACAACGGAUCUCUUGGCUCUC
rnacentral:misc_RNA from 1 species